AUGUUCGAAAGUUUGUACAAAAUACAUCUCUGUUACCUACACCUAUACUGGGCCAUGACCACAGAAGGCCAACGCAGAGUCGUAAUCAGAAAUUCAGGAACCUGGUGGAGGGAGAGGCCAGUGCGGCGAGCGAACGAUGGCCGCCCCCGCGUACACGUCCAACGGGACGAGCGUCUCCCUGUACAGGUCCCGGCAGAACGCAUCGCCGUCGCGGCCGUGCAGCAGGACCUUCCCCCCGCGGACGAAGCACGGCUGCGGGACGCACCGCGGCGCCGACGGCGACAGGUCGACGCUGUACCUGAGCGACCACCGGUCCUCGCCGCGGCUCUCGAGCGUCCAGACGUCCAUCCUCCCGGAGACCUCGGCGUUGUAGCGGCGCCACCGGGGAGCGCUGCUGCUGAAUGGGGCGGUCACCAGGCACGCCUUCUUCUCCACCUCCGUCACGUAGUAGGACAGCGCGGGAGCGCCGCAGGGCCCGUCCGUCGCCCCGCCGCACCCUCUCAGCGGCGGAGGCCUCAGCGACGAGAAUGUCUCUUCCUUGAGAUCAAACGCCAUGACCGCCACGCCGCAGCAGGCCCCUUCCUCCUCCGCGAGCCAGUACAUGGCCCCGUCCACGUUGACGACGCCGAGGUUCACCAGGCAGCUCUCCCUCGGCGCCCUGACGUCCCUCCACCCGCCCUCGCCGAGGGUGUGCACCUGUAUCGCGUCGAAGCGGAACGGCUGCCCCGACGACCGGCCGUGCCGGGGCUCGCGGAGGAAGUAGACGAGCUUGUACUCCCCCGUCGCCGGGUGGAACCCGAAGCUGUAGAGGUAGUACAGGUCACGGGGCGAUCUCCCGUCGGGCUUCGAGAGGUGCAGGCGCUGGCCGGUCGCGGGGUUGACGAUCUUCAGCGUGUACUUCCGGUAGAAGCAGAGCAGGCCGUUGCAGCAGGCGAAGAGGUGGUCGUCCGGGUCCAUGGACGACGCCGCCCACGUUGA
rnacentral:rRNA from 1 species